rnacentral:rRNA from 1 species
GAUGAACGCUGGCGGCGUGCCUAAUACAUGCAAGUCGAGCGAACAGACGAGGAGCUUGCUCCUCUGACGUUAGCGGCGGACGGGCGAGUAACACGUGGAUAACCUACCUAUAAGACUGGGAUAACUUCGGGAAACCGGAGCUAAUACCGGAUAAUAUAUUGAACCGCAUGGUUCAAUAGUGAAAGACGGUUUUGCUGUCACUUAUAGAUGGAUCCGCGCCGCAUUAGCUAGUUGGUAAGGUAACGGCUUACCAAGGCAACGAUGCGUAGCCGACCUGAGAGGGUGAUCGGCCACACUGGAACUGAGACACGGUCCAGACUCUUACGGGAGGCAGCAGUGGGGAAUCUUCCGCAAUGGGCGAAAGCCUGACGGAGCAACGCCGCGUGAGUGAUGAAGGUCUUCGGAUCGUAAAACUCUGUUAUUAGGGAAGAACAAAUGUGUAAGUAACUAUGCACGUCUUGACGGUACCUAAUCAGAAAGCCACGGCUAACUACGUG